rnacentral:rRNA from 1 species
AUUGCACGUCUAAGCAGUAAGGCUGAGUAUUAGGCAAAUCCGGUACUCGUUAAGGCUGAGCUGUGAUGGGGAGAAGACAUUGUGUCUUCGAGUCGUUGAUUUCACACUGCCGAGAAAAGCCUCUAGAUAGAAAAUAGGUGCCCGUACCGCAAACCGACACAGGUAGUCAAGAUGAGAAUUCUAAGGUGAGCGAGCGAACUCUCGUUAAGGAACUCGGCAAAAUGACCCCGUAACUUCGGGAGAAGGGGUGCUCUUUAGGGUUAACGCCCAGAAGAGCCGCAGUGAAUAGGCCCAAGCGACUGUUUAUCAAAAACACAGGUCUCUGCUAAACCGUAAGGUGAUGUAUAGGGGCUGACGCCUGCCCGGUGCUGGAAGGUUAAGAGGAGUGGUUAGCUUCUGCGAAGCUACGAAUCGAAGCCCCAGUAAACGGCGGCCGUAACUAUAACGGUCCUAAGGUAGCGAAAUUCCUUGUCGGGUAAGUUCCGACCCGCACGAAAGGCGUAACGAUUUGGGCACUGUCUCAACGAGAGACUCGGUGAAAUCAUAGUACCUGUGAAGAUGCAGGUUACCCGCGACAGGACGGAAAGACCCCGUGGAGCUUUACUGUAGCCUGAUAUUGAAAUUCGGCA